CAAGAACCCAACACAGCGUCCCCAAUCACUAGUACUCUAGUGCGGGUGCGCUUAACUGGCGCCCGAGCAGGGACCCACAUUCUUCACAAAAGGAAAAUGGUGACGUGUCAAUAACAAAAUAUAACAAUAACUUAUAAAAAUGCAAGUACAAAUAAAUUGUUUCAAAUCUAAAAGCUGGAUUGGACAAUUGUUGGCAAAAUUAAGUGGUACUUCUGUGAUUUGCAAAGUAAUGGGUGAAACACCAAUAACAUUAAAAUACAAUAAAUAACAUUAAAAUACAAUAAAUAACAUAAUUUCUAGCAAGAGCUAGACAAUUUUAUAACAUAAAAGAAAUCGUAGCAAAAUCCUUGUAGAGACGAUCCUUAAAACGAAAUACAAGAAAUUUGCAGGCUAAAUGGUGGUACAGAUUGAUUCUCGUAUCGAGGUUCAAAUCCUUGCCGUAAGACAAAUAUGAUAAAAAAAAUAAACGUCACAAUUUCCACCUGUGUUGAAUGAUGGGUUUCCGUAUAAAUUAAAAGGAGUUAAGUUUAAAGCACUGACAAUAUAACAAAAUUAAAAGGCGGCUGUCUGGAAAUCUCAACAAACAAGGCAUAAAUAUGCAAAUAUACAAACAUGAAUUAUUUAAAUAAAUAAAUGCAAAUGCAAUAAAUGCAAGAGAGAAACCAGAAAAUGAGACAGUGCCAUAUAAAGAUAACAUACUUAAAAAUUGAUAAUUCAAAUAAUUUUACAACAGACAAAACAAAAUAAUACAAUUGCAAGGAAUUCCGCGAGACGAUUAAUAUCAUUUUCUUAUCUCAAUUGGAAACGGUAAAUAGCAGUAACUUGGAAACAAUGAAAAAACUGAUUUAAUGUAGAAAAAUUAAAUCGAAAAAUUAAAUUGAUAACAUAGUAGGCCUUGCAUCGAGUCGAAUAGUAUGUAAGUUUUCCGACAUUAAAAUUAUUUAGUUCACUUGUGCACCGAGCUCAAGCCGUAAGUAAAAAAUUUUUUGAAAAUUUUACGAAAAAAUAAAAAAAACCUAAAAAGAAAUCUUACUAAAAAAGGUAAUAAUAAUAAUAAUAAUAAAAAUUAUAUAAAUAAAUAGAAUAAAAAAUACCAGGUAACGGGUGAGUAAGUCAUAAAAAAUGCUCUUGUUUAAAAUAACAUUUACAGUGAGAUUAAUUUGCUAAUAAAUAAUUUAAAUUCGUAGGCAGUAUGGAAAAUACGAGUAUAAAUGAAACAUUGCAAGGGUUAAGCGCGGCAAUAACGGUGUUAGCCGAUCAAUUUUCAAGUCUAACAGGAGAAUUGAAGCAAUUGAAUAAUAAAGUGGAUAAAUUGGAAAAUAAGGAUACUAAUAAGUCUUUAUUAAUAGAAGAACAACAAAUCUCACUGG